rnacentral:rRNA from 1 species
CCUACGGGAGGCUGCAGUGGGGGAUAUUGCACAAUGGGGGAAACCCUGAUGCAGCGACGCCGCGUGGGUGAAGAAGCGCCUCGGCGCGUAAAGCCCUGUCAGCAGGGAAGAAAAUGACGGUACCUGAAGAAGAAGCCCCGGCUAACUACGUGCCAGCAGCCGCGGUAAUACGUAGGGGGCAAGCGUUAUCCGGAUUUACUGGGUGUAAAGGGGGCGCAGACGGCGAUGCAAGCCAGGAGUGAAAGCCCGGGGCCCAACCCCGGGACUGCUCUUGAAACUGGGGGGCUAGAGUGCAGGAGGGGCAGGCGGAAUUCCUGGUGUAGCGGUGAAAUGCGUAGAUAUCAGGAGGAACACCAGUGGCGAAGGCGGCCUGCUGGACUGCAACUGACGUUGAGGCCCGAAAGCGUGGGGAGCAAACAGGAUUAGAUACCCGGGUAGUC